rnacentral:rRNA from 1 species
AGAACCUUACCAGCCCUUGACAUCCUGUGUUACCUCUAGAGAUAGGGGGUCCACUUCGGUGGCGCAGAGACAGGUGCUGCAUGGCUGUCGUCAGCUCGUGUCGUGAGAUGUUGGGUUAAGUCCCGCAACGAGCGCAACCCUCGCCCUUAGUUGCCAGCAUUUAGUUGGGCACUCUAAGGGGACUGCCGGUGAUAAGCCGAGAGGAAGGUGGGGAUGACGUCAAGUCCUCAUGGCCCUUACGGGCUGGGCUACACACGUGCUACAAUGGUGGUGACAGUGGGCAGCGAGCACGCGAGUGUGAGCUAAUCUCCAAAAGCCAUCUCAGUUCGGAUUGCACUCUGCAACUCGAGUGCAUGAAGUUGGAAUCGCUAGUAAUCGCGGAUCAG